AUCCCUGGACUGCAGUUAGUCAUUCACUCAUUCUGUAAAAAGUUUUGGCCUCCUCCCUCCACUCCUCCCCUGCCUUUCUCCCAUGCCUCCCCUCCUCUCCUCUCCUCCUUCCUGCCUACGCAUGCACGUCUGCGCGUGUUUCCACCGCUUCCCUCCACCUGGGUGGGCCUACGGGCUUCGGGUUUCCGUCUGAUUGAUUCAUGGUUCCUGGUCCUACUCUUCUUCUAUGCACAAGUUUGUUGCAACCUUUGACAUCUCUCACAUUGUCAAGAACUGGCGUACAGGACAUCGGUAUGUCCAGUUGUUUGACGAGUUUGGCCCAAUAAUGUUAAUGCUUCAAUCGAAUCUUCAUUUCAUGGCAACGGUGUGGGCGCAACUUCCCUGUCAAAAAACUUAGACAUACCGACAGUUGAUGCUUGAAUUUAACACUGACUACUUAAUAGUGCUCUGAGGAAAUUCCAGCCUGAGAGAUGUAUUGAUAAAUUGUUGCUUUGUGCUUUUCCUGUUAAGCAAGAGCUAAUGUAGCCUGAUCGGCAGCUGAGGAUAUGAUUCUCUUAUUGACUCGUUGUCGUAGUGAGCUCUCAAAUAUGGUGCUCGCUGAAAUGUCUAACAUUGAAGGUAAUGAUCAACUUAGAUAAACAUUUUUGAUCCA